GACAGUGGUAGCUCAGUGGUUAUGGUGUUGGAAUACUGACUAAAAGAUCGUGAGUUCAAACCCCACUGCUGCCA